rnacentral:tRNA from 1 species
AGGGAAUUAGUAUAAUUUAGUAUUUCUGACUUGCAUUCAGAGGGUUAAAAUUCUCUA